rnacentral:rRNA from 1 species
GGCUCAGGAUGAACGCUAGCUACAGGCUUAACACAUGCAAGUCGAGGGGCAGCAUGAACUUAGCUUGCUAAGUUUGAUGGCGACCGGCGCACGGGUGAGUAACACGUAUCCAACCUGCCGAUGACUCGGGGAUAGCCUUUUCGAAAGAAAGAUUAAUACCCCGAUGGCAUAAUUCUUCCGCAUGAGUUUUAUGUUAAAGAAAUUCGGUUACAGAUGAACAUGCGUUCCAUUAGCUGGUUGCGGGGUAACGGCCCACCAAGGCGACGAUGGAUAGGGGUUCUGAGAGGAAGGUCCCCCACAUUGGAACUGAGACACGGUCCAAACUCCUACGGGAGGCAGCAGUGAGGAAUAUUGGUCAAUGGACGAGAGUCUGAACCAGCCAAGUAGCGUGCAGGAUGACGGCCCUAUGGGUUGUAAACUGCUUUUAUAAGGGAAUAAAGUGAGUCUCGUGAGACUUUUUGCAUGUACCUUAUGAAUAAGGACCGGCUAAUUCCGUG